rnacentral:rRNA from 1 species
CGUGUAGGCGGCCAGACAAGUCGGGUGUGAAAGCCCACGGCUCAACCGUGGAAGGGCACUCGAAACUGCUUGGCUAGAGUCCUGGAGAGGAAGGUGGAAUACUCGGUGUAGAGGUGAAAUUCGUAGAUAUCGAGUGGAACACCGGUGGCGAAGGCGGCCUUCUGGACAGUGACUGACGCUGAGACGCGAAAGCGUGGGGAGCAAACAGGAUUAGAUACCCUGGUAGUCCACGCCGUAAACGAUGAGUGCUAGGUGUCACGGGCUUUGACCCUCGUGGUGCCGAAGCUAACGCGUUAAGCACUCCGCCUGGGGAGUACGGCCGCAAGGCUAAA